UGCGUGGUAUCCAGGACCAGUACAGACUCUGUGAGGAAGCCAAGCAGUUCCUUAAUCCCUGCCGAAUGCCGAACCAUCUGCAGUGGUGACCGGGUCAAGUGCCUACGACAUACGGGGAGGUGAGCGCGGUGUAUCCCUACCGCUGUCAGAAGCCACGUCCUGGAUGGCGUUUUCUCGGAUCGAGCUGCGACAGCAAAUAUGCUUGCGCCAUCCAUGUGAUAGGUAGAAUGCCAGCGCAACUCGAGCGUAUCCCACCUGUUCCUCGCUGCCUGCUGGUGAGAGAAGCCUGCGCCCCCUCGAGGGGGUGCACUAGGUAGCGAUCGGCGAGGCGGGGGCGGGUAGAGUUUGAGGUAGAGGUCGUGCUCCGAUGGCUGAGGGCACUGCUGUAACGUGCGACCUCGGCUGCUUGGCACCGCGGAAUGGGGCCUGUGACAAAGCCGGGUAGUGUGUAGAUUAAAUCAUGUUGUAUGGGAGGACUGAUCACGUGGCAAAAAAAAAAAUGUUUUUUUUUUUUGCUUCGCGAUGGUGGGAGGAUGUGGCGCAAAGAGAGAGACAGACUAGAAGAGAGUGAGGUAGUGUGUGUGGAGAGCGUCUACUAUGUCUGUGCAUGUGUGUCUGUGUGCUGCGUUUGCUCGUACCUGAGGGCGUGUCUCUCUCUUCCUAUCUCUUCGCGCCGCCGUUGCCGGCGGGGCCCAGCGGCGACAACAACAGAGGGAAAGAUCCGCGUGGAUGUUGGCUAAUAACCACCAAGCAAGAACAUCCAAAUACGCAAGAAGAAGUGAACACAUCAACGGGCGCCUCUUCGCUUUGCUCCCCGGGGCGCGCAUCUCAUUCCACGUUGCACUUGCUUCACCUUCCCCGCCCCGCCCCGCCCCCCCCCGCGCCCCAG
rnacentral:misc_RNA from 1 species